CAGCCGCCGCGGUAACACGUAGAGGGCGAGCGUUGUCCGGAAUUAUUGGGCGUAAAGGGCGCGUAGGUGGUUUUGUGUGUCCAAUGUGAAAGGCGUCGGCUUAACCGGCGAAUUGCGUUGGAAACUACAGAACUUGAGUGCAGGAGAGGGGAGUGGAAUUCCUGGUGUAGCGGUGGAAUGCGUAGAUACCAGGAGGAACACCGGUGGCGAAGGCGGCUCCCUGGACUGUAACUGACACUGAGGCGCGAAAGCGUGGGUAGCGAACGGGAUUAGAUACCCCGGUAGUCCACGCCGUAAACGAUGGGUACUAGGUGUUGGGGGUUCGACCCCCCCGGUGCCGCAGUUAACGCAUUAAGUACCCCGCCUGGGGAGUACGACCGCAAGGUUGAAACUCAAAGGAAUUGACGGGGGCCCGCACAAGCGGUGGAGCAUGUGGUUUAAUUCGACGAUACGCGAAAAACCUUACCGAGGCUUGACAUCCCUCGCUAGCCUAGGAAACUAGGUGUUCCCUUCGGGGACGAGGUGACAGGUGGUGCAUGGCC
rnacentral:rRNA from 1 species